UAGAACGCUAGCGGCAGGCUUAACACAUGCAAGUCGAGGGGCAUCGAGAGUAGCAAUACUUGUCGGCGACCGGCGCAAGGGUGCGUAACACGUGAGCAACAUACCCGUUUCAGGAGGAUAACCGGAGGAAACUCUGCCUAAUACUCCAUGACAUCAUCAAACGGCAUCGUUUGAUGAUUAAAGAUUUAUCGGAAACGGCUUGGCUCGCGGGACAUUAGCUUGUUGGUGAGGUAACGGCUCACCAAGGCUACGAUGUCUAGGGGUUCUGAGAGGAAGGUCCCCCACACUGGAACUGAGACACGGUCCAGACUCCUACGGGAGGCAGCAGUGAGGAAUAUUGGACAAUGGUCGGAAGACUGAUCCAGCCAUGCCGCGUGAAGGUUACUGUCCUAUGGAUAUUAAACUUCUUUUGUAUGAGAGCAAUAAGGUGCACGCGUGCACCGAUGAGAGUAUCAUACGAAUAAGCAUCGGCUAACUCCGUG
rnacentral:rRNA from 1 species